rnacentral:lncRNA from 1 species
AUGGGGAAAAAAGAAGGAACGUCAUCACGUGCACCCGUGGAAAAAGGUCCAAGCGAAAGAGGCGGCAGGAGAGCACCAGCGCCUGGGCGGAUCGGCCAGCGGGGGUUGCCGCUGGAGCUCUCGACAAAGCGAGCCCGGCCUUUUUACACCACCCGCCCUUCCACCAGGACGAGAAUCCCGAGGAUUCACCCCCAAGCCUUUUUAAUCCGAGGAUAUCUGCUCGGUUUCUUCCUCCGCAAGGGAGAAAAGGAGGGUGCGCAAACCCCACGUUGGUCGCAUGAAGGUCCAGGAGCGGAAAAGACGGGGGGGGGAAGGGGCUCCCUCCCUCCUUGCCCCCCUUCCAUUGCUCUACUUGUCCUUCAUACUAUUGCUACUGCUGCCUUUCGCGUCCUUAUAUAGCCUCACUGCGCGCUACUGCGCAGGCUCGUCUCAAGGCAUUUUGGGAAUCUGAGUUUUUCAUGGUCACGUGACGGUGCGGUUUCGUUCACGCGUCGCUGCCAUGCGCUUGCGGUUCGAGCCUGUGUAGGGUUUUCUGGCAGUACAGUGGUUCUUAACCUUUGUUACUCAGGUGUUUUUGAACUGCAACUUCCCAGAAACCCCAGCCAGCACAGCUGGUUGUGAAGGCUUCUGGGAGUUGCAGUCCAAAAACACCUGAGUAACCCAAGGUUAAGAACCAGUGCUGUACACUACAGUAUAUUUGGGCACUUGGCGCGCAGUACAUAAUGGAAGCAGUGGCCAGAAUCUUUCUGGCUCUAAUGGAAAUUCUGUUACGGCCUGGAGACCCGCUGCCCGUCAUUAAUGAGGGGCUGGCUGUGUUCCUUAGUGAACGCCCCUCUUUCACCGGCACUUCCUUGAUGAGAACACGUUGACUGCCAGGGCGCCGCUGAUCUCUUAGGCGAACUGAAAUCGUCAGUAGGGUCUUAGCCCUUGCCAACCCUAUAGCCCAUGCUCCAGUCGCACCAUCAAAACAAUGUACACUUGGGAGGGCAUUUCAUGGUUUCCUGCUAAAGAUCUGAUCUGCUCAAGCUAUUGUUGAUCACCACUCCAGUCCCAAAUAAAUCUGAACUGAUUUUUUAUCUUAUGGUAAAU